rnacentral:tRNA from 1 species
GGUGUUAUAGCCAAGUGGUUACGGCGACAGAUUAGAAAUCUUGCUUACGUAAGAUAACCAUCUGUUGGGGUUCCCCCGCGUAGGUUCGAAUCCUGCUAACAUCG